UACGGAGGGGGCAAGCGUUAUCCGGAUUUACUGGGUGUAAAGGGUGCGCAGACGGCGAUGCAAGCCAGGAGUGAAAGCCCGGGGCCCAACCCCGGGACUGCUCUUGGAACUGCGUGGCUGGAGUGCAGGAGGGGCAGGCGGAAUUCCUGGUGUAGCGGUGAAAUGCGUAGAUAUCAGGAGGAAUACCGUUAGCGAAGGCGGCAAUCUGGCUGGAAACUGACGCUGAGGUGCGAAAGCGUGGGUAGCAAACAGG
rnacentral:rRNA from 1 species